CCUACGGGUGGCAGCAGUGCGGAAUAUUGGUCAAUGGGCGAGAGUCUGAACCAGCCAAGUCGCGUGAGGGAAGACUGCCCUCUGGAUUGUAAACUUCUUUUGUCUGGGAGUAAAAUGUUCCACGAGUGGUGUUUUGUGUGUACCUUAUGAAUAAGGAUCGGCUAACUCCGUGCCAGCAGCCGCGGUAAUACGGAGGAUCCGAGCGUUAUCCGGAUUUAUUGGGUUUAAAGGGAGCGUAGGUGGAUUGUUCAUGCAGUUGUGAAAGUUUGAGGCUCACCCGGAAAAUUGCAGUGGAAACUGGCAGGCGUGAGUACAGUAGAGGUGGGCGGAAUUCGGGGUGUAGCGGUGAAAUGCGUAGAGAUCACGAAGAA
rnacentral:rRNA from 1 species